UACGGAGGGUGCAAGCGUUAUCCGGAUUCACUGGGUUUAAAGGGUGCGUAGGAGGGCAGGUAAGUCAGUGGUGAAAUCCCCGAGCUUAACUUGGGAACUGCCGUUGAUACUAUCUGUCUUGAAUACCGUGGAGAUGAGCGGAAUAUGUCAUGUAGCGGUGAAAUGCUUAGAUAUGACAUAGAACACCAAUUGCGAAGGCAGCUCGUUACACGAAUAUUGACUCUGAGGCACGAAAGCGUGGGGAUCAAACAG
rnacentral:rRNA from 1 species